rnacentral:rRNA from 1 species
UACAGAGGUCUCAAGCGUUGUUCGGAUUCAUUGGGCGUAAAGGGUGUGUAGGUGGCGCCGUAAGUCAGGGGUGAAAUCCUGGAGCUCAACUCCAGAACUGCCUUUGAUACUGGCGAUCUCGAGUCCGGGAGAGGUGAGUGGAACUGCGAGUGUAGAGGUGAAAUUCGUAGAUAUUCGCAAGAACACCAGUGGCGAAGGCGGCUCACUGGCCCGGUACUGACGCUGACGGUGCGAAAGCGUGGGGAGCAAACAGGG